rnacentral:misc_RNA from 1 species
GAUGAAGAACGUAGCGAAAUGCGAUAAGUAAUGUGAAUUGCAGAAUUCAGUGAAUCAUCGAAUCUUUGAACGCACAUUGCGCCCGCCAGUACUCUGGCGGGCAUGCCUGUUCGAGCGUCAUUUCAACCCUCAAGCCCUGCUUGGUGUUGGGGACCGGCUCCCGGGGGCCCGCCUCGCGCGGGCGCCCUGCCGCCCCCUAAAUCGAUCGGCGGCCACGACGCGGCCCCCCCUGCGCAGUAACAUACCACCUCGCAGGCGGGAGCACGCCGCGGCCACUGCCGUAAAACGCCCAACUUCUCAAGAGUUGACCUCGAAUCAGGUAGGAAUACCCGCUGAACUUAAGCAUAUCAAUAAGCGGAGGA